UUAAAAAAAAAAUGGAACUUUACCACGACGUCCUCACAACGUUGCCAUAAAGUAAUGUCGCGCUGACCAAACGACGACUAACUGGCAACGUCCUCACAACGUUCUGUGUUUGCUGGGGUGUACCAGAUAGCACAGGUACGUCGCGGGGACGUCUGUGCGAUGUAUGCUUUUGCAUCUGGGAGACGUCAUUUUUAGGGCGUUUUGCGACGUCGUUCUUAAUUGUACGAUUUUAUACGUUCCUUCAUAUUUCCUUUUAUUGAUCACAGCUUUAGUUACACUGAUUAUGCAUGCGUCUUCACAUAUGAGAAAAGUAUAAUAACUAACCCCAAGUAUUUUCCACUCAGAAUGAAAGAACACAACAUGCUGUUGAAUGAUUUCCUCUGCUUCAGUUGGCGACGGAAGCACGGGAUUCUUCAUAGCUGCUCCUGCAUGUUAAAAGUUUGUCUAGUUCCUCCAUGGUUGUGAGAGGGAAGACAUCAUCCUCGCUGUUCACCACUGGAGCACUGGAACGGUUGUUUGCUGCAAGGGACUGGACCACUGAAGUCAGAUGAUUGAUCUUCAUGUCCAGUUCAUUAAGUGCCUCCAGAAUUGUCCUCUCAACAGCUGCAACACAUUAGAUGGGUGUUCACCCCAAGCAUCUUCUUGCUCAUUUUCAUUGGACAAGCUCACUGGAACAGCUGGAGUUAAAAAAAGG